rnacentral:rRNA from 1 species
UACGUAGGGUGCGAGCGUUAAUCGGAAUUACUGGGCGUAAAGCGUGCGCAGGCGGUGAUGUAAGACAGAUGUGAAAUCCCCGGGCUCAACCUGGGAACUGCAUUUGUGACUGCACAGCUGGAGUGCGGCAGAGGGGGAUGGAAUUCCGCGUGUAGCAGUGAAAUGCGUAGAUAUGCGGAGGAACACCGAUGGCGAAGGCAAUCCCCUGGGCCUGCACUGACGCUCAUGCACGAAAGCGUGGGGAGCAAACAGG